rnacentral:rRNA from 1 species
UUUAUUGAGAGUUUGAUCCUGGCUCAGGAUGAACGCUGGCGGCGUGUUUAAGGCAUGCAAGUCGUGGGAUCGGCCUUUUUUUUCUUCGGAAUUUUGAGGUACGGACCGGCAAACGGGUGAGUAACACAUUGGUAACCUACCUUCAAGACGGGGAUAGCCCGGCGAAAGCCGGAUUAAUACCCGAUAGUCAUAGGAGAACUUAUGUUUUUCUAUGUAAAUCCUUUUGGGCUUGAAGAGGGGCCUAUGUCUGAUUAGUUAGUUGGUGAGGUAAUAGCUUACCAAGACCGUGAUCAGUAGCAGGCGUGAGAGCGUGACCUGCCUCACUGGGACUGAGACACUGCCCAGACUCCUACGGGAGGCUGCAGUCAAGAAUAUUCGACAAUGGGCGAAAGCCUGAUCGAGCGACGCCGCGUGCAGGAAGAAGCCCCUCGGGGUGUAAACUGCUUUUCUCAGGGAAGAAUUUGUGACGGUACCUGAGGAAUAAGAGGUUGCUAACUCUGUGCCAGCAGCAGCGGUAAUACAGAGACCUCAAGCGUUAUCCGGAUUCAUUGGGCGUAAAGCGUCCGCAGGUGGUUUGAAAAGUUAAUAGUCAAAUCUUGAGGCUUAACUUCGAGGCUGCUAUUAAUACUAUCAAACUAGAGACUGGGAGAGGCAAGCGGAACUAUCGGUGUAGUCGUAAUAAGCGCUGAUAUCGAUAGGAACACCAAAGGCGAAGGCAGCUUGCUAGAACAGUUCUGACACUCAUGGACCAAAGCGUGGGUAGCGAAAGGGAUUAGAUACCCCUGUAGUCCACGCCCUAAACGAUGCGCACUAGGUAUCGGGAGUAUCGACCCUCUCGGUGCCGUUGAAAAAAGCUAACGCGUUAAGUGCGCCGCCUGGGGAGUACGGCCGCAAGGUUAAAACUCAAAGGAAUAGACGGGGACCCGCACAAGCGGAGGAUCAUGUGGUUUAAUUCGAUGGUACGCGGCGAACCUUACCUAGGUUUGACAUGUAGCUGCAAGCUUGCUGAAAGGCGAGCCGCCUUUGAGGGUGCUACACAGGUGCUGCAUGGUUGCCGUCAGCUCGUGCCGUGAGGUGUACCGUUAAGUCGGGUAACGAGCGUAACCCUUGUUCUGUGUUAAAUGCACACAGAAGACUGCCUACGCAAGUAGGAGGAAGGUGGGGACGACGUCAAAUCAGCAUGGCUCUUACAUCUAGGGCUACACACAUGAUACAAUGGCUGGUACAAAGGGUAGCGAAAUCGCGAGAUGGAGCUAAUCUCAAAAAACCAGUCUCAGUUCGGAUUGCAGGCUGAAAUUCGUCUGCAUGAAGUUGGAUUCGCUAGUAAACGCGCAUCAGCCACGGCGCGUUGAAUACGUUCUCGGGUCUUGUACUCACCGCCCGUCACACCACGAAAGUUGACAAUGCCCAAAGGCUCCUUCGGGGGACUAAGGCAGGGUCAGCGAUCAGGGUGAAGUCGUAACAAGGCAUCUGUAGCGGAAGCUGCGGAUGGAUCACCUCCUUUCUGGAGAAAUUUC